GUCAAUGGGAGAAGGCUAGAAGAAUCCCACCAGCUCCUGUGCUGGAGGUGGGUAGUUUUAUGGUCCUGGGCUCCUCUCUGGCUGUUCCUGGAGAUGUUGUGUGCUUGGCUUUAUGGUUGUGGUGAAAAAGGGUCAAAUUGGGCUGUGAACCAAGCCUGCCACGUUGGAACCAAGUACUCUGGAAGCAGACUAUGGAUGUUCGACUUACAGGAAUAUGAAAGCGUGACUGCAUGUUGUCCUGCUGCUUCCUAAAUAAUGUCUCCAAGGGAAUUUAAGGAGAGAAAACACUUGGAAAUUCCUCAGUGGAGAAUAUGCCCAAGCAACUUAUCUUCUCAGUACAAAAUCUCACAUUGUGAUGGCUUUCCUAGUCCUUCCAGGAUCUGACUGGAGAAACUCCAGACAUGGAGACCUUACCAGCAUCGGGAUCUUCUGUGUGGAAGGAGCUCAACCACUGCCUUGGGGACCAACCAGGCCUGGGGAGAGAAUCGCAUUUCCAUUUUGCAGAAACAAACUGGAAAAAAUCUUAAUGAAGGUGUACAAUAUGGAAGGUUCCCUGCCAUGGAGGAUUUAUGUGCCUACGCCGUACUCGGUGAGUGAAGUGUUUGCCAGCGCUCAAUUAGUAGUUCCUAUGUCAUUACUGAAUUUUUAGAUGUUUUUUCUUAAGCAGCUUUGAAUUACAG
ensembl:lncRNA